AGAGGUCUGAAUGGCAAUGCAGAUUGACAAGGAUCGGGGGUUUCUUUUUCUAAAAUGUAAAUGAAGUUCCCAUGGACUGAGUCCUGUCCCAAAACAUACAGGGAUGAAAAUGAAUUCGAGGCGACAGAGGCAGAUGUAGCUGUAAAUAACCACUGCAUCCACUUAAACUGCCUUCCCCUAUCUCUACCCCCCACUCCCCGCCCCCCACUCCCUCCUUAACCAGAUGUAGCUGAAUGGGGAGCCCUCUUUGCAAAUAUGGGUUACAGGCGUCUCCUAGCGGCCGCAGAAGUUCACUACAAGCAGGUUGCUGCUCGCAAGAGCCCUGGCUAGGGAAAGAUAAGACGCUUCUUUCCAGGCUCUGCUUCUUUCUCCUGAUUUUCAAGACCUCUGAAGAGAUCGUUCAGCCGCUUGUGGAAAAAAAAAAAAAAAAAAAUUGCCUAUGCGCUUCCGGAAUAAACUGCGCUUAUUGUGAUCCCAGUCUCCGCGGCUGUUGCUCGACCGGAACCGAACUACUGCACGGAACUUAUCCUAAGGAAAAUGGAUUUGAUGAAUGGAAGUGACAAUGAAUAAAAAGAACAGAACCUAAGGGAAAAUAUCUCUGCUUCUUUGAUAAUGGGUGAUGUUUCUUUCUGAUAAUUGGAUGAACCCUAUUUAUAAAUAUUUCUCAAUGGUUAAAAAAAAGGACAUGCUCUGUCUGGUAUUAGUAACAAAUUCCUAAUUAUUUAGAGAAAUUGAAAGACAGGACCAAGGUGUCAAGAGUCAGGCCCCGAACUGGGACAUGAAUAUCUAGGGUUACACAGAUCUUCCAAGACUCCAAAGCAGAAGUUGCAGCCUAACAGCGGCCAAGAAGGUUAAGAAAUCAAGUGCUUCUGCUGAUGCCAGUCAUAAAGGGAGAGACCAACUAGCCUCUAGACAACAAAAAUCAAGUUACCUGGUGUAUCCCUUCUGUAUGAGAAAUCAACCAUCCCUGACAAAGCAGCAUAAGAUAGAAAUAGCUGUGAGGAUUCCAUUAUUGAAAAAGACAACAGAAGCAGAAGAAGCUUGACCAUAAGGGACUCAAGUUCCUAUCCAAGAUAGGCAACCCUUCCUCUAACAAGCCAGACUAAACUAAAAGCUCCAUAUCUGAUUUUGAACCUGACUGGUUGCAACUUAGAGGAUGAAGCUUCCAAAAGACAGAAAUGAAGGACUCCAUUUAAAACUUUAGCCUAGAUUUCAGUUGAUCCACCAGAUAAGUCAGAUAAAAUUGUGGAGUUCCCUCCAAAUUAGCCAAUUCCACAGCUGGGGAGAGCAAUAGCAGCAAUAGCAACAAUAGCAGCAGUGACUGUCCCUAAAGUAGGGGAAGAUAAUCUCAUCUUCAGGGGCCAAAGUAACCACCGGGAACAGCAGUUCAGACUCAGAGAUCUUCAGUAGUAGAAAGGAUGAACUUUCACCAUCAAGCAAAUGAAUCUGAAAUGGGGAAUGCAGCCCUUUCUAAACCCAUCUUGGCCAAAAAUAUUCAAAGCCAAGAAUGGCUGUCUACUUCAACCCAUGCAGAUUCAGUGAAGAGAAGAAAACCCCAAAACUAAAAAGAGCUCUAUCCUAGUGGCCAGGGAAUUUUGCCCUCCACCCUCCCACAAUGAGAAGUCAAGUCCUCCCAGGGAGGGUGAAGAAAAGGAGAAGGAUCCUUCAGCCAAGCCAAUCUCUGGGAAGAAGGGAGAAAUGCUACCUCUGGCCAAGAAGUCACUGCCCCAAAAGUGAAGAAGUAAAAGCCUCAGACUCCAAAAAUGGUUCUCAAAGCAAGGAAGAGAAAAAGGCAUCCUCUCCUUUAUAGAAAAUUAAGAAGAAUGAGAUGGAUUCUCAGGAUAAUGGCAAUUCCUUUGAUGUCAAGCAGGGUGCAUCUGGAGAUUAGGGAGAAAAAGCCAACAAGUUCUUGAAAUUCACCAAAAGCAAGUCUUUUUGACAUGAGAGGGUCAAGAAGGAGUUGGCAGACACUGGGAGAGUGCCCUAUCCAUCCAAGUGAAUUCUGUUAAAUUCGAGAAGAGUAACCUCAUUUCUAGAGGCUGGUACCCAGAGCCCAGCUCUGUUUGCAGAAUCAGGAAGCUGGAGCUAAUGACCAACCCUUCAUCCAUAGUCUGAACUUGAAUGAGGACAGGUUUUCUAUGAGGAUCUUUUGGGAAGUGGUAGUAGAGCAAAGAAAUAUGAAAGAAUUCUCUUGGUAGUGGGUUGCUUGGUUUUCCCUUCACUUCUCUGAAAUCCAGAUAUAGCUCAACCUAACUUGUUAAGGUCCUGAAAGGCUGUAUGUGAAGCAAAAAUGUGAAAAUUUAAGUUUAAUCAUAUAUUCCUAUUAACUAACAUUAUAGCUUGCAGAAAUUCAUUUCCACAGGUGACAUUUUUGCUUCAUAGAUCAUGGUAAAAGACACAUUUGAGAAACCUUGAUAUCUAUGGACUCAGUUAUAGAUUCUGUCAUUUUUUGGGGGGUGGGUGAAGGUUAAGGGUACAACCAGUUUUAGGAGACGGUCACUCCUAAUGUAGUUAUGGGAGGGAUGAAUUUUUCCAUAACAAUCCAGUGAAACCAUCAACUCAGUCCUAAAGAAGUAAUAGUGUCCUGCAUUUAUACCAUCAAAAUCAUAGAACCUUGAAAUUGAGAAAUAAUUUUCUUUUCAGUAAGAGAAUACUUAUUAGUUCACACAUUCUGUAUAUUUAUAAUAUUCUGCAAGCUUCACAGAGAACCAACAAAUGGGCAACAGACAAUAAUCCUUCCCUGGUUAAUUUAUUCCAUCAAGAGUUUGACCAUCCCUAUUUCACAAGAUCUCCAAACUAUAAAGUUUUUGAUCCACAUGUGAUUUCAUAAUUAAAUAUAGGGGUCAUACAAUUUUGAUUUAUUAUUAGUGAAUGUUUGAUUUGUGUAUCCAUUUUAUGUACCUAUUUGCCUGGAGUCAAGUAAAAAUUUCUUCAGGAAAAUGGGUUGGAAGUAGAAAAGGUUAAAAUCUUGAAAAUCCAAACUUGCCCUUCUUCUUUCACAGAUGAGGGAAAGAAGUGUCACUGAGAGACUAAGUAACUGGACAAAGAUCAGCUAGAUAAUAAACAUACAAUAAUUUACCUCGAGUCCUCUUACUUCAAAUUUGCUGUACCAUACUACCUCCCAUUUCUUCAAGUAUUCAGACAAACUCACUGGCCAAAAAAGCCCUAUGAAUGUACUCCUCUGAAUGUCAUUUAGUUGAACAUUGGAUCAUUGUAUAAUGAAGUUCAAAGGUCAUUUUUCUUCAUCCUGAAAUAUUGUAAUAGAGUAUUGUUGAAUGUAGGCUGGGGACUCAAAUAUGUCCUGAUAAUAAUAAUCUUGCUGUCACCCAAUUCUCCCUUAGUGUAACAUUGAUUAAAUAUUUAAUGUGGUCCAGUGAUUUCUUGACAUCCCCAGACUAUUUGUUAUGCCACAGUUCUCAGUUUCCAUAAUUCUCCCGACCCAGUCCUGACUCAGUUUCCCUGUUUCUCUGAUCUGCAAAACUUCCCCUCUUUCUUUAUCAGAAUACCUGAUAAGGAUAAAAGAUCUUAUGUUUUAGAAUAUCAGAAUUCCUCUCUCCAUCCCAAAAUAUUGGAAUAUCAGAUAUUGUCUUAUCAAGAUGCCUCUCCCCAUGUCCAGGGUAACUCCCCUUGAAUAUGUCAUCCCAUCUCUGAGGUUCACCCCACCCUGUCAGAGUUCCGGUCUGGCUCUCAGUACCCUAAGUCCAUCCCAACUCAGUCUACCCCCUGCUUCUGAACCACAUGUUUGAGAACUCACAUUGUUUGCUGGAUUCCUGGAGACGGUAGUCUCAUUCAGUCCUGGGACCAAACCAUGGAUCCAUUUGAUCCCAGUAUAUCUCUCCAUUUAAUAAACUAUUAAAUACUCUCUAAUCUCUAUCUUGCUCAUUUUCUCCAGCAUUACAUAUUAACAUCAUUCUUUUAAUUGAACAGUCUAAUAAAUAUUGAGAAAUCUUUUUUUUUUAAUUUCUUUCAUUUCCUUCUGAAAAGAAAUUAUUCUUUGAUAAGGAGAAGAAGGUAUAAAACUUGUUGGAAUCAUUAAUUUGGAGGGGCAGAGUGGGAGCUGGAGAAAACAUUUUCAGUAGAAGAUUCCUCAAUAUAAUUAUUAUAAUUGAUAUAUGUAGUGAAUUGACUAAGUAUGAACUAGUGUGGGGAUGGGAGAUUGUUGUAACCGAAGUUCAUUCUGCAACUGGUUCAGUUGAUAUUGGUGGAAAUGAGAAGCAAUUCAUCAGAAUGUUAUUUUCAUUGGUCCCUUAAUUGUCCAUGAAAAUUCAGUCCUUGAAAAUGCCAUCUAGAGAGAGAAUUUAUGGAGACUAAAUGUGGAUCAAAGCAUACUAUUUUCACCUUUGUUGUUGUUGUUGUUUGUUUGCUUGCUUUUUCCUUCUUAUGGUUUACCCCUUUUGUUCUGAUUUUUCUUUCAUGAAAUGACUAAUACAGAAAUAUGUUUAAAAUGAUUAUUUAUGUAUAACAUAUCAAAUUGCUUGCUGUCUUGGGGUAAUUGAAGAAGGGAAAAAUUGGAAUUCAAAAUCUUACAAAAAUGAGUGUGGGAAAUUAUCUUUACAUAUAAUUGGAAAACUUAAAUACUAUUGAAUUUUUAAAAAUCUAGCCUUGGUUUGUGUCUUUGCGCAGAUAAUUAUUUGUAAUAUUUGUAAUUCAUACAUUAAUUAAUGCAUAAUCCUACAUAUAUAUAUAUUUGCCAAAAUAUGAUCCAAAAAUGACUUUUAAUGAGCUAAACUUUCUGUCUUAUUUCACUAUUUUCUAAACAGGUAGUUUCUUUUUCCCCAUAGCUAAGAGUGAAUUUAUAUCUUGACUGUAGUUAAUGUGUUAAUCACAAAUAAUUCUUAUCUGCUCAAUAAUAAGAUUUCCUAAGACAAAAAUGAAUAAAUGAAUGAUCAAAUUGCAUGAACGUUUAUGAAACACCUAAGGAUAUGCCAGGCACUCUGUAAGGCACAGGGGAUAGAAAGACAAUAAGGGAAAUAAUAAAUGACUAAUUGGUAUCAUUCUUUUAAUUAUUUUUAAAAAAGAAAUCCUACUUCUCUCUUGAAUUUUUUUUUUAUAUUAAGCUAAUGAUGUGACUCUGUUUUUGUGUGUGUAAACAAGUUUAUGCAUGUGUGGGCUUGUGUAUAUAUGUAUGUGUCUAGAAGUGGGAUGUUAGUAGUGGGCCAAAUGUGACUCAGAGAUUCUUUCUAGAUUAAGGAAAACAACAGCUGCCAUUUCAGGACCAUAAGCCCUGGAACCCCCAGUGAAGUCAUUUCUAGCCUGCUGAGUUGAAAAAGUUUAAAGGUCUAUUGUAAAAGAGACAAGAAUUCUAUUCAUUAAUUAGACUAGUCUGAGACUACUUUGUAUUUGCAACAAUGAAUAACCUUUCUUUCCAGGGGUGCAUAGUUAAACCCUUAAGCUAAUUUGAUUUUCUGUGCCUGGUUCCACUUAACUUUCAUGUUUCACCUUUAUAAAUUUAUUUGCAUUGGACCAAUUGUGGUAUAAUGUUUUGACCCUUCUUUCUGUUUGAUAAGAAAGUGAAGAAUAAUUUCUUUGUGAAUUAACAUUCCCAAAAGGGGAACUAUGAGCAGAACAAGUGGAGGUUCACCUUGGCUGCAACUCUUCCACCCCCAGAAAUCAUUUCGUGAUUUCCAUGAUUUUCAAAUGGAAAAUAAAAUUCUAUACAUUCAUAA